CCGUCCGCCCCCUGAUACACCCGCGCGCCGCCCGGGGCCGCCCGGUUAGGCUGGCCGCGUGCGCUCUCCUGCCGGAAGGCGCAAAGCCGACAGCCGUCGCACUCCAGGGAGCACAUCCAUG
rnacentral:sRNA from 1 species